AGUGGUAGUGGUAGUGGUAGUGGUAGUAAUGUUACUAACAAUAAUAAAUGUAUAAAAUGUAAAGAAAGGUAUUAUAAAGACGUUAUUGAUAAUUCAGUUUGUUCCGGUUUAUGUGUAGAAUUUUCAACCUCAUUUGAAGGGUCAAUUGAUAAAAAACAGUGUUUUUGCACAAAAGGUAGAUAUAUGGUCACUGAACAAUCAUCCGAAAUGAAAUGCGUAAGUUGUCCUAAAGGUGCUUUAUGUAUUGGUGGAUUAAAAUACAGAACUUUAAUAAAAAUAAUGAAUAAUCCAUAUUAUACCAAUAUAACUAUAGACGAUCAUGCUAUCCCAUUACCGAAAAAAGGAUUUUUUGCAACUUAUGAAAUUAACCAUAUAGAUUUUAAAUGGUCGCCUAUGAACUCAUUAAAUGUUAUAAUAAAUAACCAUGACACAUAUGAUAUUAUAGUAGAAAAAAAUAAUAUGUUAACUUUGUUUGGUGACAAAAUGCAACACGUCACAAUGGAGUCCUACCCGUCAAAGGAAACGAAUUUGCAUACAAAUACGAAAAUACAGAAAAAAGUGCGGAAAACAAUGCAGUCGGAAAUGCAGAAAAAAAUGCUGUCGAAAGUAGAUACAAGCUUUUUGAGCAUACAUGACACAACAAAUAUCACAAAAAACGAAUUAAGAGACUCCAAAACAACAACAUGGACAUCUGUUUUAGUAAAUGAAAAAAAGGAAAAGAUAAAAUAUAAAAAUGGAUAUUUAACAGUGGAUCGAAUCCCAGAUUUUCAUGCGUGUCCAAACAAUAAUAGGUGUACUGGAGGUACUCAUAAAGUAUGUGUUGAAGGUUCUGAAGGAUAUUUAUGUAGCAAUUGUUCAAAAAAUUAUGACAUUUCAUAUAUAGGUUCCAUAUGUUUUAAAUGUAAUGUAAGCAAAAAAAAAGAAAUGUGGCAAUUUUUACAAAUAAAGAUAUUUUUUUAUAUUAUCAUUUAUUUGUUAGUAUAUUUAAAUUAUUUUUGUUUUAUACAAAAGAAUUUUGUUUUUAUUGGGUUUUUUAAAAUAUGGUACUCAUUUAUUAUUUGUUUAUUGCCUUAUUUAUUUAUUAUCGAUUCUAAUAG
rnacentral:lncRNA from 1 species